rnacentral:rRNA from 1 species
UACGUAGGGGGCAAGCGUUGUCCGGAUUUAUUGGGCGUAAAGAGCGUGUAGGCGGCCAAGCAGGUCCGCUGUGAAAACUCGAGGCUCAACCUCGAGACGUCGGUGGAAACCGUUUGGCUAGAGUCCGGAAGAGGAGAGUGGAAUUCCCGGUGUAGCGGUGAAAUGCGCAGAUAUCGGGAAGAACACCUAUGGCGAAGGCAGCUCUCUGGGACGGUACUGACGCUGAGACGCGAAAGCGUGGGGAGCGAACAGG